rnacentral:snoRNA from 1 species
UAUUACCUGUGGGAUCUGAUCAAGUGUUGCAUUGAUGCGAAGCAGAACGAU